rnacentral:tRNA from 1 species
AGCAGCGUGGCUCAGUGGAAAGAGCAUGGGCUUGGGAGUCAAGGUUCAUGGGUUCGAAUCCCAGCUCUGCCA